rfam:Triticum aestivum genome assembly, contig: Triticum_aestivum_CS42_TGACv1_scaffold_203691_3AL
GUAGUAUUCCCUCCGUCCCAAAAUUCUUGUCUUACAUUUGUUUAGAUAUGGAUGUAUCUAACACUAAAAUGUAACUAGAUACAUCCGUAUUUAGACAAAUUUAAGACAAGAAUUUUUGGGACGGAGGGAGUACAAA